rnacentral:lncRNA from 1 species
GAAAGAUAACCCAUGACCAGGAGGACCACGAGGACCAUUUGAGCUGGAACUUAAGGUUGGGUGGGAGCAACAAAGGCCAAGACAGCAGGAUGCCAUUCCAGGAGAAGAGAGGAGCCACAGCCAGGGCUUAGAAGUCGAAAAAUGAUUCUUAUUCCGUUCGGAAAAUUCUCAAACUACAGGAAGUGGAGAGAACAGUACAGUGACCCUACACGCUUGUUACCAGCCUCACCUGUCACCCACAUGGAGUCCUUCCCAUUCGUGGGGUUUCCAGGAUUUGCUGAGCACCUACUAUGCAUCAGACGUUGUGUUCUAGGCAAGGGGGAUACACCUGAUGGAAGAAGGUGCUUCCCUAGACGUAGCUAACAUCCCAGUGUGGGACAUGACAAGAAACAGUAUGCCCAUGUAAGUUCUGGCCAAUGGAAAAUGUUGUGUGUGACUUCCAGAAAAUGUCUUAAAAGGGAAGGUAAACACCUUCCUCCACCAGUCCUCCACACUUUCUGGAAUUUGAGACAUGAUGACUACAUCUCAAGCAGCUCG